AGGACGAACGCUGGCGGCGUGGAUUAGGCAUGCAAGUCGCGCGACGGACCUUCGGGUUACGGAGCGGCGAACGGGUGAGUAACACGUGAACAAUCUGUCCCUACAUUCCGGAUAAUUGGCCGAAAGGCCUUGUAAUACGGGCGAGGAUGGUGGUGAGGCAUCUCACUAUCAGGGAAGGUGCAACGCAAGUUGUGCCGUGCAGGGAGGGGUUCGCGGCCUAUCAGUUAGUUGGUGGGUAACGGCCUACCAAGACGACGACGGGUAGCUGGUCUGAGAGGAUGGUCAGCCACAUUGGAACUGAGACACUGUCCAGACUCCUACGGGAGGCUGCAGUCGAGAAUCUUGGGCAAUGCACGAAAGUGUGACCCAGCGACGCCGCGUGGAGGAUGAAGGCCCUUGGUUGUAAACUCCUUUUAUGGAAGAAGAACGUCCCUUCGGGACUUGACGGUACUCCAUGAAUAAGCCACGGCUAACUACGUGCCAGCAGCCGC
rnacentral:rRNA from 1 species